rnacentral:rRNA from 1 species
AGUGAACGCUGGCGGUAGGCCUAACACAUGCAAGUCGAACGGCAGCACAGUAAGAGCUUGCUCUUACGGGUGGCGAGUGGCGGACGGGUGAGGAAUACAUCGGAAUCUACUUUUUCGUGGGGGAUAACGUAGGGAAACUUACGCUAAUACCGCAUACGACCUACGGGUGAAAGCAGGGGAUCUUCGGACCUUGCGCGAUUGAAUGAGCUGAUGUCGGAUUAGCUAGUUGGCGGGGUAAAGGCCCACCAAGGCGACGAUCCGUAGCUGGUCUGAGAGGAUGAUCAGCCACACUGGAACUGAGACACGGUCCAGACUCCUACGGGAGGCAGCAGUAGGGAAUAUUGGACAAUGGGCGCAAGCCUGAUCCAGCCAUACCGCGUGAGUGAAGAAGGCCUUCGGGUUGUAAAGCCCUUUUGUUAGGAAAGAAAAGCAGCAGGUUAAUACCCCGCUGUUCUGACGGUACCCAAAGAAUAAGCACCGGCUAACUUCGUG